AGGUUGGCUCAGAAGCAGCCAUCCUUUAAAGAGUGCGUAACAGCUCACUAGUCGAAUGACUCUGCGCCGAUAAUUUACCGGGGCUAAGUAUAUUACCGAAGCUAUGGAUUUACGCAGAAGCGUGAGUGGUAGGGGAGCGUUCUAUGUACAGAGAAGCGGUACCGGAAGGAGCCGUGGAGAGCAUAGAAGAGAGAAUGCCGGUGUGAGUAGCGGAACGCGGGUGAGAAUCCCGCGCACCGAAAACCCAAGGUUUCCAGAGGAAGGUUCGUCCGCUCUGGGUAAGUCGGGACCUAAGGCGAGGCCGAGAGGCGUAGUCGAUGGACAACAGGUAGAGAUUCCUGUACUUACGGUAUGAAUGAAGGAGUGACGGAGAAGGCUAGCGGAUCCUGCUGCUGGAAUAGCAGGUGCAAGCGAGGUAGCUGACAGCCAGGCAAAUCCGGCUGUCGAAAGGCGAAGACGUGAAGCGGAUGGAAAGCUGAGGCAAGUACAGAAGUCCGUGAAGCAGGCUUCCAAGAAAAGCUUCUAGUGUUAAUCAUACAGUAACCCGUACCGAAAAUGGACACACAUGGGUGAGGAGAGAAUCCUAAGGUGAGCGAGAGAACUAUAGCUAAGGAACUCUGCAAAAUGACUCCGUAACUUAGGGAUAAGGAGUGCUCAUAGAGAUAUGAGCCGCAGUGAAACGGCCCAAGCGACUGUUUACCAAAAACACAGCUCUAUGCUAAGUCGAAAGACGACGUAUAUGGGGUGACGCCUGCCCGGUGCUGGAAGGUUAAGAGGAUGUGUCAGCGAAAGCGAAGCAUUGAAUUGAAGCCCCAGUAAACGGCGGCCGUAACUAUAACGGUCCUAAGGUAGCGAAAUUCCUUGUCAGGUAAGUUCUGACCCGCACGAAAGGCGUAACGAUUUGGGCGCUGUCUCAGCUGUAGACUCGGUGAAGUCUUAGUACCUGUGAAGAUGCAGGUUACCCGCGACUAGACGGAAAGACCCCAUGGAGCUUUACUGCAGCUUGAUAUUGGACUUUGAUGCAAGAUGUACAGGAUAGGUAGGAGACUGAGAGACAUGCACGCCAGUGUGUGAGGAGUCGAUGUUGGGAUACUACUCUUCUUGUAUUGGAGUUCUAACCGGAUGCCAUGGAACUGGCAACGGGACAGUGUCAGGCGGGCAGUUUGACUGGGGCGGUCGCCUCCCAAAGAGUAACGGAGGCGCCCAAAGAUACCCUCAGCUUGGAUGGAAAUCAAGCGCAGAGUGCAAAGGCAUAAGGGUGUUUGACUGCGAGACCAACAAGUCGAGCAGGGACGAAAGUCGGGCUUAGUGAUCCGGCGGUGCUGAAUGGAAAGGCCGUCGCUCAACGGAUAAAAGCUACCCUGGGGAUAACAGGCUGAUCUCCCCCAAGAGU
rnacentral:rRNA from 1 species